rnacentral:rRNA from 1 species
UACGUAGGGUCCGAGCGUUGUCCGGAAUUACUGGGCGUAAAGAGCUCGUAGGUGGUUUGUCGCGUUGUUCGUGAAAACUCACAGCUCAACUGUGGGCGUGCGGGCGAUACGGGCAGACUGGAGUACUGCAGGGGAGACUGGAAUUCCUGGUGUAGCGGUGGAAUGCGCAGAUAUCAGGAGGAACACCCGGUGGCGAAAAGCGGCUUCCUGGCCCGACACUGACGCUCAUGAUACGAAA